CAGGCAUGCCCGGCAGGCACUCUCAAGUCCUCGCCUUGGUAAACGUCUCUCACCGUUUCUCUUGGAAACUACCUGGUUCACAGGUCCAGACGACAGAAUGGAAUCUGUGGUCAAGUGUAUUUCCAUUGUACAAGCUGCAGGACAUAUUUAAUUUGUGUUCACAAACAGUCAUGGAGAGAAAGCUGAUAUGGAAGUUCCAUAAGCUGGACUUGGCAGUUUUUUUUUUAAAAAUGAUCUGCUGCUAGUGCCAGGCAGGCAAAUGAGGGAUCCUGGCUUACUGAGAUCCAAAAAAAGGAAGAAACAUUGAGAAACUACCUAAACAGUCAACAACUUGUUUCUGGGGAAGAGAAAAGGAGAAUGAAUAUCAUUGGGGUAAGUGGCAAAGUUACAUCAAUACCAUCAAUAACACUUUUUUAAAUGUCUAUCUUGAUUUUAUUUAG
rnacentral:lncRNA from 1 species